CUACGGGACGCAGCAGUGAGGAAUAUUGCACAAUGGGGGGAACCCUGAUGCAGCAACGCCGCGUGGAGGAUGACGCAUUUCGGUGUGUAAACUCCUUUUAUAUGUCAAGAAAAUGACGGUAGCAUAUGAAUAAGCACCGGCUAACUCCGUGCCAGCAGCCGCGGUAAUACGGAGGGUGCAAGCGUUACUCGGAAUCACUGGGCGUAAAGGACGCGUAGGCGGGUUGGAAAGUCAGGUGUGAAAUCCUACAGCUUAACUGUAGAACUGCACUUGAAACUUCUAAUCUAGAGUAUGGGAGGGGGAGAUGGAAUUAGUGGUGUAGGGGUAAAAUCCGUAGAUAUCACUAGGAAUACCUAAAGCGAAGGCGAUCUGCUGGAACAUAACUGACGCUAAGGCGUGAAAGCGUGGGGAGCAAACAGGAUUAGAUACCCGCGUAGUC
rnacentral:rRNA from 1 species